CGCGUAGGCGGUCGAUCGCGUUGGGUGUGAAAGCCCCGGGCUCAACCUGGGAUGGGCGCCCGAAACGGGUCGGCUUGAGAUCGGAAGAGGAGAGUGGAAUUCCCAGUGUAGAGGUGAAAUUCGUAGAUAUUGGGAAGAACACCGGUGGCGAAGGCGGCUCUCUGGUCCGGUUCUGACGCUGAGGCGCGAAAGCGUGGGGAGCAAACAGGAUUAGAUACCCUGGUAGUCCACGCUAGUAAACGAUGCGUGCUAGACGUUGGGAGGCCUAGCCUCUCGGUGUCGCAGUCAACACGUUAAGCACGCCGCCUGGGGAGUACGGCCGCAAGGUUAAA
rnacentral:rRNA from 1 species